rnacentral:rRNA from 1 species
AGAUUGAACGCUAGCGGGAUGCUUUACACAUGCAAGUCGAGCGGCAGCACGGGUACUUGUACCUGGUGGCGAGCGGCGGACGGGUGAGUAAUGCCUAGGAAUCUGCCUGAUAGGUGGGGGAUAACGUUCGGAAACGGACGCUAAUACCGCAUACGUCCUACGGGAGAAAGUGGGGAUCUUCGGACCUCAACGCUAUCAGAU